UACCAGCUCUCCGAGUGGUGUGGAUGUUUAUUGGGCCUAACGCAUCCGUAGCUGGCUGGACAAGUCCCCUGUUAAAUCCACCGAUUUAAUCGUUGGUGUGCGGGGGAUACUGUUCGGCUAGGGGACGGGAGAGGCAGACGGUAUUUUCGGGGUAGGGGUGAAAUCCUAUAAUCCCGGGAAGACCACCAGUGGCGAAGGCUGUCUGCUAGAACGCGCCCGACGGUGAGGGAUGAAAGCUGGGGGAGCGAACCGGAUUAGAUACCCGGGUAGUCCCAGCUGUAAACGAUGCAGGCUAGGUGUUUGGACGGCCACGUGCCGUUCUAGUGCCGCAGGGAAGCCGUUAAGCCUGCCGCCUGGGGAGUACGGCCGCAAGGCUGAAACUUAAAGGAAUUGGCGGGGAGCACCACAAGGGGUGAAGCUUGCGGUUU
rnacentral:rRNA from 1 species